rnacentral:rRNA from 1 species
GCACAAGCGGUGGAGCAUGUGGUUUAAUUCGACGCAACGCGAAGAACCUUACCUGGGCUUGACAUGUCAGUGACCGCCGUGGAAACACGGUUUUCCUUCGGGACACUGUCACAGGUGGUGCAUGGCUGUCGUCAGCUCGUGUCGUGAGAUGUUGGGUUAAGUCCCGCAACGAGCGCAACCCCCGUCCUAUGUUGCCAGCAUUCAGUUGGGGACUCAUAGGAGACUGCCGGUGACAAACCGGAGGAAGGUGGGGAUGACGUCAAGUCAUCAUGCCCCUUAUGUCCAGGGCUACACACGUGCUACAAUGGCCGGUACAAACCGCUGCAAACCCGCGAGGGGGAGCUAAUCGGAAAAAGCCGGCCUCAGUUCGGAUUGGAGUCUGCAACUCGACUCCAUGAAGCUGGAAUCGCUAGUAAUCGUGGAUCAGCAUGCCACGGUGAAUACGUUCCCGGGC